GAUGAACGCUGGCGGCGUGCCUAAUACAUGCAAGUCGAGCGAACGGACCAGAAGCUUGCUUCUCUGAUGUUAGCGGCGGACGGGUGAGUAACACGUGGAUAACCUACCUAUAAGACUGGGAUAACUUCGGGAAACCGGAGCUAAUACCGGAUAAUAUUUUGAACCGCAUGGUUCAAAAGUGAAAGACGGUCUUGCUGUCACUUAUAGAUGGAUCCGCGCUGCAUUAGCUAGUUGGUAAGGUAACGGCUUACCAAGGCAACGAUGCAUAGCCGACCUGAGAGGGUGAUUGGCCACCCUGGAAGUGAGAAACGGUCCAGACUCCUACGGGAGGCAGCAGUAGGGAAUCUUCCGCAAUGGGCGAAAGCCUGACGGAGCAACGCCGCGUGAGUGAUGAAGGUCUUCGGAUCGUAAAACUCUGUUAUUAGGGAAGAACAUAUGUGUAAGUAACUGUGCACAUCUUGACGGUACCUAAUCAGAAAGCCACGGCUAACUACGUG
rnacentral:rRNA from 1 species